CCGGAUGUGAUGAGGAACUUGAAGUUUGACUUCCGCAAUGAUGGUUCAUGUAUUCAUACUGUCUGAUCCAG